GAAGAACUACGAUGCCCAGAAAGCUCAGCGACACUACAACUCCCAAUGGACUUAGCGGAGAGCCUGCCUCCUUCCCGGAGCUGAUGCGCGCGGUCACUUUUGGGAUUUGUAGUUGUUCCUGAGCCCGAGAUAAGCAACGUGUUUGGGACUGGGGUAUCACAUUGCUUGGUUUCUCAAAGGAUGGAGCAGGAGUGAGACAGAGGGAAAGAAUUCAGAAUUCAAAAUUUUUAAAAAUGAAUGUUAAAAAUAAAAAAGAUUGUGAAUUUCUUGAAG